rfam:Picea glauca, whole genome shotgun sequence.
AUGUAAUGUAAUUCCUACAUUGUUAAUGCACUAGAUCCUAGUAGAACUCCCCAGUUAAGUGCACUUGGGAUAGAGUAGUACUAGGAUGGGUGACCUUCGAGGAAGUCUUAGUGUUUUACAUA